rnacentral:rRNA from 1 species
GACGAACGCUGGCGGCGUGCUUAACACAUGCAAGUCGAACGGAAAGGCCCUGCUUUUGUGGGGUGCUCGAGUGGCGAACGGGUGAGUAACACGUGAGUAACCUGCCCUUGACUUUGGGAUAACUUCAGGAAACUGGGACUAAUACCGGAUAGGAGCUCCUGCUGCAUGGUGGGGGUUGGAAAGUUUCGGCGGUUGGGGAUGGACUCGCGGCUUACCAGCUUGUUGGUGGGGUAGUGGCUUACCAAGGCUUUGACGGGUAGCCGGCCUGAGAGGGUGACCGGCCACAUUGGGACUGAGAUACGGCCCAGACUCCUACGGGAGGCAGCAGUGGGGAAUAUUGCACAAUGGGCGGAAGCCUGAUGCAGCAACGCCGCGUGCGGGAUGACGGCCUUCGGGUUGUAAACCGCUUUCGCCUGUGACGAAGCGUGAGUGACGGUAAUGGGUAAAGAAGCACCGGCUAACUACGUG